UUGCAGCUGUUGCGCCUCUGCUGAACGCCCAGCCAGCGCGGAUUCACUUUUCACACAAAUCAACCGGAGGGAUUGUUGCUGCCUGCAAUCAAUAACUCAGCGGAGUGAGUUGCUCAAACUAGAGGCGUCCCUCGUCCGGCUCUUUGAGGGCCGUCCGGAUUGAGUCCCAGCGCUCUGCUUUCCAAACAAAGAAGUGGGCACCAAAACGCAGGACGAGAUUUUUAAUCCCCACUUCCACCACGACCCCGAGUGCCAAAGAAGAGUUGCAAACUGUGAAGUAACUUCUAUGAAGAGAUGAAGUAAAGAACGGAAGGCAAAUGACUGUGGCAGUAAAGAAGUGUAUGUGAAAGGAAAAUAUCCCAAGGACUAAUCUGAUCGGGUCUUCCUUCAUACUUAGGAAAGGCAGCAUUUUACUUCAUUCAUUAAUUG
rnacentral:sRNA from 1 species